CGAAGAACCUUACCAGGCCUUGACAUGCAGAGAACUUUCCAGAGAUGGAUUGGUGCCUUCGGGAACUCUGACACAGGUGCUGCAUGGCUGUCGUCAGCUCGUGUCGUGAGAUGUUGGGUUAAGUCCCGUAACGAGCGCAACCCUUGUCCUUAGUUACCAGCACGUUAUGGUGGGCACUCUAAGGAGACUGCCGGUGACAAACCGGAGGAAGGUGGGGAUGACGUCAAGUCCUCAUGGCCUUUAUGACCAGGGCUACACACGUACUACAAUGGCCGAUACAAAGGGCAGCGACACUGCGAGGUGAAGCCAAUCCCGUAAAAUCGGUCUCAGUCCGGAUUGGAGUCUGCAACUCGACUCCAUGAAGUUGGAAUCGCUAGUAAUCGUGGAUCAGCAUGCCACGGUGAAUACGUUCCCGGGCCUU
rnacentral:rRNA from 1 species